rnacentral:rRNA from 1 species
UCUUCCGUUACGAACUUGUUAUGCUGUUCUUAUGACACAGAUCAAUCUGAAAUUCCACACAAUUUCAGCUCUGGGAGGAGAGUUAUCGUUAAUGGAAGAUUUUAAAAAGAACUUGCUUAAAAUGGGAAAAACAAACCGGACUGUCCCGGCGGUUUUACUGAUUGCUGCUGCCUUCUUUCUGCUGUUCGGCAUUUUUAUGAUCCCCCACAAAGUUCAGCCCUUUGACCCGACCUCCGGCGGCUAUGCUUCCCUCAAUAUCGUCUAUGUUAUGGGCCCCUUCGCAGAACAGACCUCUGACGGAAGGACUGUAAAGGAAUAUUAUGUUGCUGAAAACGACAAAGGUUACUGGUCUAUCAUCAGCACCGAAAACUCCUGUCCCUUUCCGGUUUACAAUGAAACCAUUUCCGAUGCCGAUCUGAAAACACUGGUUCCUCAGACUGCUGUCGGUCAAAGCAAGAAGAUACCCAAAAAGCUUGCCGGAUACCUUGUAGACUACUUUAAUAACAACGGCUUUGAGCUCUCCCUUUCCGACUAUGAGCAAACCUUGGGUAAUCAUUAUCUCGAUACCACCGCACCUUUGAUGGGCAGCAGCCUUGUGCUCUUUAUAUUUUCUGCAGUCUUUUUCAUCCUCAGUGUGAUCGUCCUGAUCUCCUUCAGGAAAAACAGCAAUCACAUUCAGACCCGUAUUCAGGAGCUUAUGCAAGACGGUGAGUUCGAACCACUCUGUCAGGAUUUCCAGUCAACUGACGCUGCUUUUUAAGAUGUGGAUAGCGGAGAAAUUCCAAUCGAACCCGGAUAUAGCUGGUUCUCUCCGAAAUAGCUUUAGGGCUAGCCUCGACUGAACAUUACCGGAGGUAGAGCACUGAAUGGGCUAGGGGCCGAGAGGUUACUGAACCCUAUCAAACUUCAAAUGCCGGAAAAUGAUAGUCGGGAGUCAGACUGCGUGAGAUAAGUUUCGUAGUCGAAAGGGAAACAGCCCAGACCCACAGCUAAGGUCCCAAAGUACGGUUAAGUGGAAAAGGAUGUGGAGUUGCACAGACAACCAGGAUGUUGGCUUAGAAGCAGCCACUCAUUAAAAGAGUGCGUAAUAGCUCACUGGUCGAGUGACUCUGCGCCGAAAAUUUAACGGGGCUAAAUCGUACACCGAAGCUUGGGAUGUAUCUAUGAUACAUGGUAGGAGAGCGUUGAAUGCGGGGUGAAGUCAGAGCGAAAGCGCUGGUGGACUGCAUUGAAGUGAGAAUGCCGGAAUGAGUAGCGAGAUUUAUGUGAGAAUCAUAAAGGCCGAAAGACUAAGGUUUCAGAAGGAAGGUUCGUCCGCUUCUGGUUAGCCGGGAGCUAAGGUGAGGCCGAAAGGCGUAGCCGAUGCACAUACGGUGGAGAUUCCGUAGCCGUCGAAAUAUUUAAGCAAAGGGACACUUAUGAAGGACAUGACCCGGGCGAUGGUAGCCCCGGGCGUAAGGGACUGAAAACAAGUAGGGAAGCAUGUUUGGAUUAAGGCGAGAAAAGCUUUGUGUAUAUAUCAGACGUCCGUACCGCAAACCGACACAGGUAGUCAGGAAGAGGAUUCUAAGGCCAACGGGAGAAGGGUAGUUAAGGAACUCGGCAAAUUGACCCCGUAACUUCGGGAUAAGGGGCGGUGCGUAAGCACCCGCAGUGAAUAGGUCCAGGCGACUGUUUAUCAAAAACACAGCUCUCUGCUAAAUCGAAAGAUGACGUAUAGGGGGUGACACCUGCCCGGUGCUGGAAGGUUAAGAGGAGGAGUGCAAGCUCCGAAUUGAAGCCCCAGUAAACGGCGGCCGUAACUAUAACGGUCCUAAGGUAGCGAAAUUCCUUGUCGGGUAAGUUCCGACCCGCACGAAUGGUGUAACGAUCUGGACGCUGUCUCAACUGCCCACCCGGCGAAAUUGUAGUACCGGUGAAGAUGCCGGUUACCCGCGGCAAGACGGAAAGACCCCAUGGAGCUUUACUGUAACUUGAUAUUGGGUCUUGGUAUUCUAUGUACAGGAUAGGCGGGAGACUAUGAAACAUACACGCCAGUGUAUGCGGAGUCACCCUUGGGAUACCGCUCUUAGAGUACUGAGAUUCUAACCUGCGGCCGUGAAUCCGGUCGGGGGACAUUGUCAGGUGGGCAGUUUGACUGGGGCGGUCGCCUCCUAAAAGGUAACGGAGGCGCUCAAAGGUUAGCUCAGCACGGUCGGAAACCGUGCCUCUGAGUGCAAACGCAAAAGCUAGCCUAACUGCGAGGCUGACGGGCCGAGCAGUAACGAAAGUUGGAGUUAGUGAUCCGGCGGUAUGUGAAUGGAAAUGCCGUCGCUCAACGGAUAAAAGCUACCCUGGGGAUAACAGGCUGAUCUCCCCCAAGAGUCCACAUCGACGGGGA